CUGAAUGACUCUUGGCAAUGGAUAUCUUGGCUCUCGUUUCGAUGAAGAACGUAGCGAAAUGCGACACUUGGUGUGAAUUGCAGAAUCCCGUGAACCAUCGAGUCUUUGAAUGCAAGUUGCGCUCGAGGCCAUUAGGUCGAGGGCACGUCUGUUUGGGUGUCAUA
rnacentral:rRNA from 1 species